UCGAAACCUGCAAAGCAGAACGACCCGCGAACCUGUACUCAAAAUCGGUUAAUGGGGGAAGAGGGGAAGCCCUCGAACCCUGUUACCUGUUGGCGUGCAUGCGUGUUGCUCCUUUUGGAGCUCCACGGACGUUUCGUUGACAGCCUAACAAACCCCGGCACGGAAUGUGCCAAGGAAAACAAAACAAAAGAAGGGCGUGCCCCGUGUUGCCCCGUUCGCGGUGUGCACGCGGGUCGUGGCCUCCUGGAAACACAAACGACUCUCGGCAACGGAUAUCUCGGCUCACGCAUCGAUGAAGAACGUAGCAAAAUGCGAUACUUGGUGUGAAUUGCAGAAUCCCGUGAACCAUCGAGUUUUUGAACGCAAGUUGCGCCCAAAGCCAUCCGGCUGAGGGCACGUCUGCCUGGGCGUCACGCAUCGCGUCGCUCCCCCAUCCAUCCUUCAAGGAUGUAUGCUACCGGGGCGGAGAUUGGCCUCGUGUGCUCUAGGCGUGCUUGGCCCAAACACGAGUCCCCUUCGGUGGACGCACGACUAGUGGUGGUUGAAUAGGCCCUCGUCUUUUGUCGUGUGCCGUGUGCUGCAAGGGAACCUCUUUUAUAAGACCCCAAUGCAUCUUCCUAUGACGAUGUUUCGAC
rnacentral:misc_RNA from 1 species